CCUACGGGUGGCAGCAGUGGGGGAUAUUGCACAAUGGAGGGAACUCUGAUGCAGCGACGCCGCGUGGGGGAAGAAGGUUUUCGGAUUGUAAACCUCAGUAGUCGGGGAAGAAAGAAAUGACGGUACCUGAAGAGUAAGCUCCGGCUAACUACGUGCCAGCAGCCGCGGUAAUACGUAGGGAGCGAGCGUUGUCCGGAAUUACUGGGUGUAAAGGGCGUGUAGGCGGGGAUGCAAGUCAGAUGUGAAAUUCCGGGGCUCAACCCCGGCACUGCAUCUGAAACUGUGUCUCUUGAGUGCUGGAGAGGAAAGUGGAAUUCCUAGUGUAGCGGUGAAAUGCGUAGAGAUUAGGAGGAACACCAGUGGCGAAGGCGACUUUCUGGACAGUAACUGACGCUGAGGCGCGAGAGCGUGGGGAGCAAACAGGAUUAGAUACCCCUGUAGUC
rnacentral:rRNA from 1 species